CCACAUCAUGUCGAAAGACCUCAUUCCGUACGAUCACCUAAGUUAAGCAACGUUGAUUUGUUUAGUACCUAGAUGGGUGACCGCUUGGGAAUAUCAGGUGCUGUAAG